AGCUAAUAUUUCGCUUUCUAAGCUACAGUAUGAAAUAAAAUUUUCUGUCGUCUGAGUUCUGUUGUCUUAAAGAUAAACAUCCGUCAAAAUUUCAAAUUUCAGUGAAAAAUAUUCGGCAUUUGAUGCUGUCUGGUCUAGAUUCAUACAGUAUAAUGCCAUCCUCUCUGCGCUUUCAAUAUAACCGAACAUCUUCAAUAUCCGAAUCUAAUCAUCAAUGGUGCAUUUUACUACCUGGACAAGUAUGAAUAUCUUUAAAUUCAAUUUAUGAC